CUUGUAUUUCCUCCAUCCGGAAAUACUUGUCGAAGAAAUGGAUGAAUCUAGACGUAUUUUAGUUAUAGAUACAUCCAAUUUUAUCCAUUUCUCCGACAAGUAUUUUGAGACGGAGGGAGUAUUUG
rfam:Triticum aestivum genome assembly, contig: Triticum_aestivum_CS42_TGACv1_scaffold_130377_2BL